GUCAGGAUGGCCGAGCGGUCUAAGGCGCCAGAUUUAAGCUCUGGUUCUCGAAAGAGAGCGUGAGUUCGAACCCCACUCCUGACA
rnacentral:tRNA from 1 species